UCAAUUUCAUCUGGCUCUCCUCGGUAGAAGUAUUUUUGAGAUAGAGAGCUAAGAUCAGCUAAUUUGUCAGCAUUAUAAAGCAGUAUCUUGUCCUCAUAGUUCUUGUCUCUCACUGAAACUUUCCAGCAGCGGCCGCUGACAUAUGAACUUCACCAAUGAAGAUGCCACCACCGCACGGCUAUUUCUUGACUGCCCUGCUGAGGGUAAGAUAGUGGGAUAAUGCUUCUUUUCGGCCAUUUCUUUGUCAUUUCUAACAGGGUCAAACUCAAAUACCAAUAAAAGGAGAUGGAGAGCCAAUAUGCCACACCAUCAAAUUUAAAAGGCUAGGGGGAAAAAAAAGUCAAGAUCAUAAACGGUUGCCACAUUCAGUCUUUUUUAAUGCUAGUCUAUUAGUUUCAAUAAAAGAACAACAGAGUGUCCAUCGCGCUGUAACGCGACACGCCUAUCAUGUCAAUACGAUUAGUUUUUGUAAUGUGUUCAUGUACUGGUUACAGUUUAUAGAAAAAUUGAUUUCACAGAAUCAGAGAAAUUAGAAUUGGAAAUAUUCUAUUAGAUCACAAGACACAGCCCUAGAGGCUAGUGUAGAAUUGGUCCCUACUUACCAGUGUAUUUUCUGGUGUGGUUUUCUAUCAGGUUUUGAUGGGCUUAUAUAUUUAUUAUAGGCUGGGACUAUGUUCCACUAAAAAUUAUAGCAAUCCAUCUGAGAAAUAAAAUUCCAGAAAAAUAAGCAUUCGCUGAGUGCUAAUUUUACUUUGGUGGGUACAUUUUUAAUAUAGCAGUGUUUAUAGCCUCUCAGCUUACAAGAGGCAGGGUAACAGAAGUGGAUCAUGGGCUGGCAUUAUAAUCAAGUAGUAAAUUUACAUAUCUUAAGAGGAGAAAAUUUCCCCAGACCAAAUUUCCCAUCAGAUUUACACAAAAUGUGAUAAGAAAUUUUGAUCCCCCAAGAAUAGCUUAUUUUCUAUGUAGGAAAUUGAAGCCCGUGCCUCCUGAAAGUGUCUAUAAUCGCACACCUGAAGGGACUUCUUGCACUUUUUGGGCAGUGUGUACUGAGCUAGGACUCUGGGAGAUACAGUUGCAAGAGAGUGCAAGAGAGAGGGCAAACACAGCCCUGAACUUGGGGGCCGGGGUGGCUGUGGCCAGGGUCCAACCUCACAUCUCCGCUCUGCUUCCCUUUCUCACUCUGGUGUGACUGAGAGAGACGAGGAGCGAGGGCUGGGCUAGCCUGGGAAAUGUGAGCCCUGAGCAGGGUCUUGCUCCUCUCUCCUGCACAUAAGGGAAUGCAGUGGCUUUUCCAGGUGAAACAUACACACACUGGUCUACGUCCAACCAAUCCGACGGCUCCCAGGAUUUCCCAUGUCAGGACAGGUCAGCUUUCCUCCUCUUCAACAGUCUUUACAUCCUCCUCGCCUGGUUCCAUCCGUUAAUAAUGUCGGAGAAAGGACUACAGUGCGAUUUUCCUCAGCUCUCUCCAGAGUUUCUUAACCUUUUUUUUUUUCAUGGAGACAAAGCAGAAAUCUGUACGUAGUCUAAGCUUGUGGGUGGGAGGAGGGACUCAGGCCGUGUGUGGGAAAGGAUAGGGAGGAGGCAGAGAAGUGUAACGGUCUGCAGACAAUGCCCGACUCCGCUUGUCUCCAUCCUCACACCCCUGUCCGGAACACAGCCCUUGUUCUUCUGGACGGCAGCUGAUGAAGAUUAUGUCUGGCGAGCGAUCCAGGAAAAGCCUUCUACACCUGCAUGCUAAAUGAGCAAGAACGCCCAGGCUUAGAAGAAAUGGGGCCAGACAAUCAUGGAUUGGAACCUUUGAAGCCGUGAGCCAAGAUAAAACUCCCUGAUUUCUGGACCUCAUUAGGCCCCAGUCCUUUGGGAUGCUGUGUCUUUCGUCAUGAGGAGAUGGAGAGGCAGGAGCAGGAGGACUGUGCCUCUUGAAGUUCCUCUUAGACCUCAGAACCCUUGACAGCCAUGUGUCAGAGAAGCAGACCACCCGAAGCUUGGAACUGGCUUGGAUUUGAUCUCCAACUGUCUGCCAAGCUUCUGCAUGGCUCCCCAGACAAGCCUUAUGUUUGAGGCUCCUAGGACGACCUCUGGAUGGGAGGCAUUUUGUCACUGAUAUGCGAUCCCUGACAAGACAGGAGAAAAAGGCGAAAAGGACCAUGUAUCUCAGGGUUUCAGUCUAUCACAGUGGGGAACGGGCGUGAAGCGGGCCAAUAAAAUAUGGCUGGCAACCAAGGAACCAAUGCAGCAAGGUGAGCUCCCAAGGGUACCCUUUCUGUGGCUUCCUUUUUCCAACCAGGCCCAACCUCUUCUUUUCCUCAGCUUCCAAUAACACUGUCACACUAUAAAGCAAUUGGUGGAUUAGUCCAUUGAUUAACUCAAAACCUUCAGGAUCCCACCACUUGUCAAGGCCCACCCAUCAGCUAAUAACCAAGUUCCCUUCUAUUUGAACCACAGCCGUUGGUGAUAGACUCCAUCUUGGCUUUACUGGUUUCCGAAGGAAUCUUUGUUACAGCUUCUCCUGACGUCACUGGGCCUCCUCUAGGAACAGCUGCUGAACUGGUUCAAUGGAUCUGUGGUUGUGACAGAAGCAACGGAUGGAGAGAGAUGUUCAUUUUGGCUCGCAGUUCAGGAGUACAGUCUGUAAUUGUGGGUAGGUCACAGUGGCUGCGAUGGGUCAGUCUGUGGUGUGCAGGUGUGUGCAUAGGAGAUGGGAUCACGGGGAGUGUACGGGGUUUCCCAUAGUAGCAUCCAAACCUCCCUUCAGGAGGAUCCCAGGAUCUGAGGGAGUUGGAGGUAGAAGACUGACCAAGCCCAGUGGCAAGGCUUGUUACCAUUGGACCAGAAGCUCCUGCUUCUGCCUGGUCCCAGCAAAAGCAGAGAGGAGCCAGACCCUAGGGAUGAGCACUAAAGUUUCUUAACAAACACACCAGCAAGCAUUGGGUAGCCACUGAGAAAAUUUCCCAACUCCACUCAGGUGCUGACCUAGUAGAGCCAUUCUAACAUGUCCCCAGGGGAUUGAAUCAAUUACAUUUGUGUGCGUGUGCCCGUGUGUCUGCACAUGCAUGUGUAUGUGUAUGUGUUGUGGUGCAGUUCAGAGGACAAUUUACAGGAGUCUGUUCUCCUUUUCCGCCAGGCAGGGGUCAGACUCAGAGAACCAGGCUUGCUCCCUUACUGAGCCAUCUCACUGUCCCUAGGAAUUGAAUCCAGCAGAACCUGCUGAUACUUGGAGCUAAGCCAUCCACCUGGGAUGGCAGAGCAGGAAGAGGUGCGAUGGGGUAAGGUGGUAGCCAGGGCCCCAGGCUUUGGGCCCUGGAAGGUGACCCUCCAGCACAGCAGACACUCAUUCCCAAAUGUGUACCAGGUCCCUCUUUGCCAGCAAUCAUUAGGUUCAGAAAGCUCAGAGGGCCUGGUGCCCCCAACAAGUCAGCCGCCUCAGCCACCAUCUGCUCCUCAGAACUAGCAGAUCUCACAAGCAGCCUGUGGCUGAAACCAGUGCCAGAUUCUCCUGCCGUGGCUGUGGCUGUGGAGAGAGGCAGAGGGCGCUAACACGGGCCCUGGAUCAUGUUCUGGGGAGGUUGAUGCUGCCUGACCCUUUCCGGAAGGGCACAAGCAGUACUGGCAGAGCCCUCCCCACCUCUGGCUUGACCCUUGCUUAAUCUCAAACCUGGAGGUUGGUGUUCUAAUCCCACAGUGAUGCCCAGAGCUUGGGUAGAAAUGAUUGCAAGGUAAUAUGUUUUGCUUUCAGAGAGUAAAUUAAAACGAAGACUUCUGAUUUUAAGAAGCAAAACAUAAAACCUGAUUCCUAAAUAAACCCCCUUCCGUCCUGCCAUUAACACUGCUUCUUGUUUGUGAUAGGGGGCGGGCUCAACGGACCUGCCAAUCAACUACUGCUUUCAUUCCUGACAGACCUAGGGGAAGAGCAGAUCCCAUUUCUGUGCUAGCUAGAGAGCUAUGCAAUAGUGGCACAAGUCAGUGAAUACAAACUGUGCAGCCUCCUCCUCCCCCGUGCCUUUCCCAGCAGAGCCCAGUGCAUAACAAGUACUACACUAAUAAGUUCAUCAUGGGGUCAGUUCUGAACUGGGCUGACUCCUCGGCUCCCAGGCCUGGGAAAGCAAGAGAGACUUGUUCACUCACUGACCUCAGAUGAAAAUUUGAUAAACUGCUGAUGCCUUUGGUUAUUUAUGAGUUAUUACAUGCAUAUAAAUGAACAUAUUUUACUAGUUGUACAAAUUACAUUUUAUCGGUGUGAAACAUGCAUUUCAUUCCACAGGCUGCUGACCUGGCUAAAGAUGAAGUCUUUUUGAAUGCUAUUAGAGUUGGUGUUCGCGAGUACAUAUUUGACCCUUGAGGGUUCUCCUGAGAAUCCCAGGGUCUAUCACUGCAGACUGACCCAGCUCCAGUGAACAAACAGAAGUCUAGGGCAGGAAAGCCCCGCCCUCUCAAGCCCCGCCCU
rnacentral:sRNA from 1 species